rnacentral:lncRNA from 1 species
AGGAAUUUAUACCUUUAUUGUGUGGGUUUGAAUAUUCAUAAUAGCAAUCAGAGAAUAAUCGGGGCCCAACACACACACAGGGUGGUUGGAGAGACUAUACCUGUGGCAAUACGAAAGCAUAGAAAUAAGUAGGUUGAUCUAUUUUUCUGCAUAACAUUUAUAACUAGUUACUGAUUAGAAUGGGGAAAAAGUUGAGAUACAGUCAAGGUUUUCUUUUCCUUAAUUUCAAUGAUUGCUUAUAGAGCAUGUGAAACUGAACUCACCCAUGGGAAAAUUUCUGCCUGAACAGCAUUAGUGCAAAGACUACAAGUUUGCACCAGCUUUGUAAAUAUUUGGACACUUGACUCAAUGCUUAACACACUUUGGAAAAUCUCCUGGUGUUAAGAGAGAAAGUAUUAGAUAUGAAAAUCUGUGAGAAUAAAUCACUUCUAAGCUUUGAUUUUUGUGACUACAGAGAAAGACUUUGACUCUGAUGUAACUGAGUGUCUAAAAGUAUUAAAAAAUCAAUAUCUCUUAUCUGCAAGAAUCCUUCUAAUGGCUUAAUGCUCUGUCUUCCAGGAGAUGAGUGUUAAUUGUGUCAAUUGCUCUUUGUGGCAGGAAAAGGACUUGUCUGUCAAAUGCUUUUCAAUCGCCAAGAAGUUUGAGGUACCUGGAGAAUGCUUCCUCCUGUCAACCCUCAUCCUGCUCUCAUUGCCUUUGUUAUCUGCACCAGUCCAUCUCUACACACCCCCAUGUACAUUUUUCUGAUGAACUUAUGUAUCCUGAAAAUUGGUUACACUAGUUCUGUCAUACCCAAUAUAUGGAGAGCCUUGAAAGUGAGAUCUGAGGAAUCUCUCAGGAGGGAUGUGCCACACAGACGUUUUUCUUCACACUUUUUGUAUAAUUGAGUGCUGCCUAUUGCCAGCCAUGGCCUUUGUCCACUGUAUGGCCCUGCUUCAUUCUGCAGCCCAAAUGAGUAGUGAGAUGACAGAUAUCCUCCUAAUGCUUAACUGCGAUAAGCGAAGCAAGAAACACUUUGUGGUAUCUGUGUCAAGUACAUAUAAUCUCAACCUAAAAGAGGAAAACCACUGGGCAAAUCCAAAUUCAGAGACAUUCUUGCAAGUUAUCAGCUAUCAGCUAUCAGCUUGACAAAAGUGGAAGAACCCAUGAACAAAAAUAUCCUUGUAAUGUACGUAGAGAAAAUUGAUCAGAGAAGAAGGAAUACAUAUAGCAACCUUCCUGGAUUCAACACAAUAGAGCCUACAUUCCUGUAGUGUAUUCUUCAUGAGUUUAUAGAGUUUAUGGGCUAAUACCUGGAAAAGAACUCCUACAAAAACCAGCAGCAAAUUAACCACAAACUGCAAUAUUUAUACAAGCCAAAGAAAUAUGUG